GUUUGUUUGUUUUUACACUUAGUUGCCAUCAUUGGUGGUGCAGCAGCGGCCGGGGUCGUUGUCAUCAUAGCGAUAAUUGUUUCCAUAUUCCUCAUCAGAAGGCGCCGAUCAAAACCUAGAGACGAAAAGGAACAGUCUCCCCAGGCUGACGAAGGAACUGUAGACAACAUCUACUACGGUGGAGUUGCGUUCGCAGCCAAUGGCAACGCUUCUACCAACGGCAAUGUAUCAAUUGGCCAAUCAGAAGGAACUGUGGACAACCAAUUAUACGCUUACUCGGGACCAACCAAUGGUAAUUCCAGUUCGACUGACCAAUCAGAAGGAAGUGUGGACAAUCAUCUAUACGCGGAAACUAGUACUACCAACGGUACUCUUCCAUUUGACCAAUCAGAGGGAACGGUGGAUAACCAUCUAUACGCGGGAACUGGGAACGCAUGUUUGGAGACAAGAGAUUAUGACAGCGUCCAGGAUAGCGUGUAUUACAACGUAGCGCACACUUCUGAUGAAGGCGUCGUUGAGAAUGAUAUCUACUGCUGAAAAACACGUUAUCUGAAAUUAUAAUACGAUUACUUCAUUCGUCAAAGUAUAAACCAGACCAUUCUACUAACCGAAGUUGUUUUAGAAUAUGAACAACAAACUGUUUCACUGCAAAGUUAAAUGUAUGAUCAUAACAAAUAAGAUAAUAUUUAAAUAGCAAUAACCAAGCCUUUUGAUGAUAUGUAAAUUUAUCAACGCGACAAAGUAUCCACGGUGCACCGGUGAUAUACAUGAACAAAGUUAGGUUUCCACAAUUUAUAAUUUCUUUACGUGAUCAUGCAUGCAUGUAUGUUAAAGCAUGGGGCCAUCACUAUGUAAAUACUGUACAUAUUGUGUUGACCGUUGUUCAGUUUGUCUGAAAACCGUAUACGUAAUUCUACUGUUUAAUUAACAUGUCCUAUGCUGUAUAGGUCACUGCCAUGAUUUAUUCAAUCGCAUUAUCUUACUUACUUACUUACAAUCGCAUUAUCAGGCAAAGAAAAUAUUGAAUAA